rnacentral:rRNA from 1 species
AUGAACGCUGGCGGCGUGCCUAAUCCAUGCAAGUCGAGCGAACGGACGAGAAGCUUGCUUCUCUGAUGUUAGCGGCGGACGGGUGAGUAACACGUGGAUAACCUACCUAUAAGACUGGGAUAACUUCGGGAAACCGGAGCUAAUACCGGAUAAUAUUUUGAACCGCAUGGUUCAAAAGUGAAAGACGGUCUUGCUGUCACUUAUAGAUGGAUCCGCGCUGCAUUAGCUAGUUGGUAAGGUAACGGCUUACCAAGGCAACGAUGCAUAGCCGACCUGAGAGGGUGAUCGGCCACACUGGAACUGAGACACGGUCCAGACUCCUACGGGAGGCAGCAGUAGGGAAUCUUCCGCAAUGGGCGAAAGCCUGACGGAGCAACGCUGCGUGAGUGAUGAAGGUCUUCGGAUCGUAAAACUCUGUUAUUAGGGAAGAACAUAUGUGUAAGUAACUGUGCACAUCUUGACGGUACCUAAUCAGAAAGCCACGGCUAACUACGUG